AGCGGAGGAAAAGAAACUAACAAGGAUGCGCUUAGUAACGGCGAGCRAAGACCGCGCAAAGCCCAACUUGAAAAUCUCCCUCGGAGAAUUGUAGUCUAUAGAAGUACCCUCUGCAACGGGCUGAGCUAAAGUCUCCUGGAAAGGGGCGUCAGAGAGGGUGAGAACCCCGUAAGCUCACGCUUAGCUGCCUCACGAGGUGCUUUCAAAGAGUCGGGUUGCUUGGGAAUGCAGCCCAAAUUUGGUGGUAAAUCCCAUCUAAGGCUAAAUAUUGGCGAGAGACCGAUAGCGAACAAGUACCGUGAGGGAAAGAUGAAAAGAACUUUGAAAAGAGAGUUAAAAAGUGCUUGAAAUUGUUGAGGGGGAAGCGUUUGAAUGCUAGGGUGCGCCUAGGCUUAUGGGUCCUUAACGGGGCUCUGUAUGUGCUAGGUGCUGGCCAGCAUGGGUUAGGCCAGUGGGAUAAAAACUGGGGUUGUUACUCGGUCUAUGCCACUGGUUUGACCAAGGCGUUAAGACUGCCCUUGUCCUCCGGGAACUGCAGUCUCAAGAUGCUGGCAAAAGGCUUUCAACCGACCCGUCUUGAAACACGGACCAAGGAGUCUAACAUGUAUGCGAGUUGGUGGGUGGAAAACCCAUGAAGCGUAAGGAAACUGACUGGUGGGAUGGCCUGUGCCUGCACCAUCGACCGACCAUGCGUUUCUGCAAAAGGUUUGAGUGCGAGCAUACACGUUGGGACCCGAAAGAUGGUGAACUAUGCCUGAGCAGGGUGAAGCCAGGUGAAAACCUGGUGGAGGCUCGUAGAUGUGCUGACGUGCAAAUCGCUUKUGCGGACUUGGGUAUAGGGGCGAAAGACUAAUCGAACCUUCUAGUA
rnacentral:rRNA from 1 species